UUAAGCGACUAAGCGUACACGGUGGAUGCCCUGGCAGUCAGAGGCGAUGAAGGACGUGCUAAUCUGCGAAAAGCGCCGGCGAGGUGAUAUGAACCCUUGACCCGGCGAUGUCCGAAUGGGGAAACCCAGUGCAAUUCGUUGCACUAUCGUUAACUGAAUACAUAGGUUAACGAGGCGAACCGGGGGAACUGAAACAUCUAAGUACCCCGAGGAAAAGAAAUCAACCGAGAUUCCCCCAGUAGCGGCGAGCGAACGGGGAGCAGCCCGGAGUCUGAAUCAGCUUGUGUGUUAGUGGAACGGUCUGGAAAGUCCGACGGUACAGGGUGAUAGUCCCGUACACGAAAGCACACUUGCUGUGAACUCGAAGAGUAGGGCGGGACACGUGGUAUCCUGUCUGAAUAUGGGGGGACCAUCCUCCAAGGCUAAAUACUCCUGACUGACCGAUAGUGAACCAGUACCGUGAGGGAAAGGCGAAAAGAACCCCGGCGAGGGGAGUGAAAAAGAACCUGAAACCGUGUACGUACAAGCAGUGGGAGCCUCUUUAUGGGGUGACUGCGUACCUUUUGUAUAAUGGGUCAGCGACUUAUAUUCUGUAGCAAGGUUAACCGUAUAGGGGAGCCGAAGGGAAACCGAGUCUUAACUGGGCGUUAAGUUGCAGGGUAUAGACCCGAAACCCGGUGAUCUAGCCAUGGGCAGGUUGAAGGUUGGGUAACACUAACUGGAGGACCGAACCGACUAAUGUUGAAAAAUUAGCGGAUGACCUGUGGCUGGGGGUGAAAGGCCAAUCAAACCGGGAGAUAGCUGGUUCUCCCCGAAAGCUAUUUAGGUAGCGCCUCGUGAACUCAUCUUCGGGGGUAGAGCACUGUUUCGGCUAGGGGGCCAUCCCGGCUUACCAACCCGAUGCAAACUACGAAUACCGAAGAAUGUUAUCACGGGAGACACACGGCGGGUGCUAACGUCCGUCGUGAAGAGGGAAACAACCCAGACCGCCAGCUAAGGUCCCAAAGUCAUGGUUAAGUGGGAAACGAUGUGGGAAGGCACAGACAGCCAGGAUGUUGGCUUAGAAGCAGCCAUCAUUUAAAGAAAGCGUAAUAGCUCACUGGUCGAGUCGGCCUGCGCGGAAGAUGUAACGGGGCUAAACCAUGCACCGAAGCUGCGGCAGCGACGCUUAGGCGUUGUUGGGUAGGGGAGCGUUCUGUAAGCCGUUGAAGGUGUCCUGUGAGGGGUGCUGGAGGUAUCAGAAGUGCGAAUGCUGACAUAAGUAACGAUAAAGCGGGUGAAAAGCCCGCUCGCCGGAAGACCAAGGGUUCCUGUCCAACGUUAAUCGGGGCAGGGUGAGUCGACCCCUAAGGCGAGGCCGAAAGGCGUAGUCGAUGGGAAACAGGUUAAUAUUCCUGUACUUGGUGUUACUGCGAAGGGGGGACGGAGAAGGCUAUGUCAGCCGGGCGACGGUUGUCCCGGUUUAAGCAUGUAGGCGGAGGUUCCAGGUAAAUCCGGUACCUUGUUAACGCUGAGGUGUGAUGACGAGGCACUACGGUGCUGAAGUGAUAAAUGCCCUGCUUCCAGGAAAAGCCUCUAAGCAUCAGGUAACACGAAAUCGUACCCCAAACCGACACAGGUGGUCAGGUAGAGAAUACCAAGGCGCUUGAGAGAACUCGGGUGAAGGAACUAGGCAAAAUGGUGCCGUAACUUCGGGAGAAGGCACGCUGAUGUGUAGGUGAAGUCCCUGCGGACGGAGCUGAAAUCAGUCGAAGAUACCAGCUGGCUGCAACUGUUUAUUAAAAACACAGCACUGUGCAAACACGAAAGUGGACGUAUACGGUGUGACGCCUGCCCGGUGCCGGAAGGUUAAUUGAUGGGGUUAGCGGCAACGCGAAGCUCUUGAUCGAAGCCCCGGUAAACGGCGGCCGUAACUAUAACGGUCCUAAGGUAGCGAAAUUCCUUGUCGGGUAAGUUCCGACCUGCACGAAUGGCGUAAUGAUGGCCAGGCUGUCUCCACCCGAGACUCAGUGAAAUUGAACUCGCUGUGAAGAUGCAGUGUACCCGCGGCAAGACGGAAAGACCCCGUGAACCUUUACUAUAGCUUGACACUGAACACUGGUCCUUGAUGUGUAGGAUAGGUGGGAGGCUUUGAAGCGUGGACGCCAGUCUGCGUGGAGCCAACCUUGAAAUACCACCCUUUAAUGGCUGGUGUUCUAACGUAGACCCGUAAUCCGGGUUGCGGACAGUGUCUGGUGGGUAGUUUGACUGGGGCGGUCUCCUCCCAAAGAGUAACGGAGGAGCACGAAGGUUGGCUAAUCCUGGUCGGACAUCAGGAGGUUAGUGCAAUGGCAUAAGCCAGCUUGACUGCGAGCGUGACGGCGCGAGCAGGUGCGAAAGCAGGUCAUAGUGAUCCGGUGGUUCUGAAUGGAAGGGCCAUCGCUCAACGGAUAAAAGGUACUCCGGGGAUAACAGGCUGAUACCGCCCAAGAGUUCAUAUCGACGGCGGUGUUUGGCACCUCGAUGUCGGCUCAUCACAUCCUGGGGCUGAAGUAGGUCCCAAGGGUAUGGCUGUUCGCCAUUUAAAGUGGUACGCGAGCUGGGUUUAGAACGUCGUGAGACAGUUCGGUCCCUAUCUGCCGUGGGCGCUGGAGAAUUGAGGGGGGCUGCUCCUAGUACGAGAGGACCGGAGUGGACGCAUCACUGGUGUUCGGGUUGUCAUGCCAAUGGCACUGCCCGGUAGCUAAAUGCGGAAGAGAUAAGUGCUGAAAGCAUCUAAGCACGAAACUUGCCCCGAGAUGAGUUCUCCCUGAGACUUUAAGUCUCCUGAAGGAACGUUGAAGACUACGACGUUGAUAGGUCGGGUGUGUAAGCGCAGCGAUGCGUUGAGCUAACCGAUACUAAUGAACCGUGAGGCUUAACCUU
rnacentral:rRNA from 1 species